rnacentral:rRNA from 1 species
CACGGGAGACACACGGCGGGUGCUAACGUCCGUCGUGAAGAGGGAAACAACCCAGACCGCCAGCUAAGGUCCCAAAGUCAUGGUUAAGUGGGAAACGAUGUGGGAAGGCCCAGACAGCCAGGAUGUUUGCUGAGUUAUCCAAUAGUCGGUUUUGCAAAGUGACAAAGCUAUCUGAUAGCAUCACUCGUUUCUUUUCUUCAUCCUGCGUCCGUAAGUUUUCAACUGUCAGGUAGUUAUCAAAAAACGCUUUAA